ACAAAACGGUGUAUAAUAAAUAAAGAUAAACAAAACCCUCGGUUCUUAGGGAGAGGAGAUAAAAAAGACGAAAAAGAAAAACCCAGGAUUUCAAAACUAAACCAAAAGAGUGCGAGGAAACUCCAAAUCGAAACAUAAAGGAGCCCUGGCUGAGGAUGAAGAAAACCUUAAUCUAGCGCAACUAGGAUCGGGCAUUCAGCCUUCAUCGCCAACACAGCCAUAUCAGGUACAUCCUCUACCCAAAAACGGACUUCCCUGAAAGUAGAUCUUGCUUUAGCUAGAAUAUGGGGCCACCCUAUUCGCAUUCCGAUCAACAAAUCUAAAAAUUAUUCUAUCAAACAUUCUAGCUCUUUACUUAAUUUUCAACAUAAACCCCGAUGGCAGAUCUAGCCCUACCCUUCUCAAUGAUACGUACAAUGGUAGAUCUUGAGUCCCCUUCAACCACUAAAUUCGAAAAACCCAUGUCAGUGGCAAAAUGCAGACCGUCGAGGCAAGCAAGCACUUCACCCACGAAAGGAUCAGAGACAAAAUUGUUCCUUACCAUUCCACUUCCCAAAACCUGGCCUUGGGCAUUCCUAACAACAAAACCAGAAUAAGACUGAUGGCUUUGGCCAUGAAAAGUAGUAUCAAAGUUAAGCUUGAGCAUCAGAUCCAUCGGGGGGUCCAGCUUUGCUUCAUCGUUAUUCUCGCCUUAGGAAAUUUCGCUCUUAGCUCCUUUAGUUCACAAACAAGGCUAAUUAUUUUGGCACUAACUUCUAGUGCAUGUUGUUCUUUCCUUUCCAUGACAUGUCUAUUCUGAGCGAACCACAAAGCCUAAAUUGUAAUGGCGAUGAUAGAACAGGCGUGGAUGUCACUUGAUCUUAUUAGGUAAGUAAACCAACUCCAGUAGUCCUUAUGGUUACCAGAUAGAGACCAUUCAAGUUUAACCCAUCUCUAAACUUCCUAUGUCAGACCACACUGUAUACUUAUAUGUAGUGGAGUCUUAGCUUCAAUAUUACAACGAGGACACAUAGGGGAAGAAGCAAGUCUUCUAUUGUAAAGUAUAGAUGCUGUAGGAAUAAAUUUGUGUAACAUUCUCCAAUUUGCUAUCUUAAUUUUGGGAGUGAUUUGGAGAGACCAAAUUUUUUAUAAAAGUCAAUAUUACCUUUGGUAGAGUCUGAAUAAUCGGGGGCAUAUGUUAACAUUUGGUAGCCACUCCUGACUGUAAAGUCCUGUAUGUUCUCCUUUCCAAACUGGCACAUUAUCAUCAACAUAUUCAGACAGUGGAGUACAGUAGAUGGCCGUGGCAAUCUCAAAGGGAAACAAUCUG
rnacentral:lncRNA from 1 species